rnacentral:tRNA from 1 species
UAGCCUAGUCGUUAAGGCUAUGGAUCGCCAAUCCGGAGACGGCGGGUUCGAUUCCCGC